UUAUCUCCACAUGACCUAGACUGGACCAGGUCAUGUGGGUUUAUCUCCAGAUGACCUGGUCCAGUCUAGGUCAUGUGGGUUUAUCUCCACAUGACCUGGACUGGACUGGACCAGGUCCCACCGAUGAGCCCGGUUCGCUUUACUGCCUCACACGAACAUGAUCCUCUGUUCGAAUGUGCAACUCUUGGAAUGUCUGAUUUUAUUGUUUUAUUUGCCAGAUAUACAGAUUCUCAUAACUGUUGCAUGUGUGAGACACUGUGAUGAUUUAUGGUUGUUAUUAUCAUGAUGAAUGGAAUGAGUGCAUUUAAUCAUCUGCACUGCAUUCUGGAGAUGAUUUCUGUGACUUAUCUGCAUCCAGGCAAGAAACCCUGGUAACCAGAUGUAAAGUUCUAUAUGUUUUUUAUCACAUUAUUUAUCCUUCAUUAUAUCUUUUAUUAACCCACCAUCAAAUAUGUGCUUCUCUUCUGCAUUUUAUUAACACUAUUUAGCAUUUUGCUCAUCUUGGUGUGUAUUUUACAGAUCAUUUAGCUCAUUAAAGCUUUUACGCGGUUUACACAUCAUGAAUGGAGAUGGAUGUCAUUUAAAUGUCCCAAUAAAACUCUAAAGAAGUCA